rnacentral:rRNA from 1 species
UACGUAGGGGGCAAGCGUUGUCCGGAUUAUUGGGCGUAAAGCGCGUGUAGGCGGCCAUGCAGGUCCGCUGUGAAAACUCGAGGCUCAACCUCGAGAUGUCGGUGGAAACCGUUUGGCUAGAGUCCGGAAGAGGAGAGUGGAAUUCCUGGUGUAGCGGUGAAAUGCGCAGAUAUCAGGAAGAACACCAAUGGCGAAGGCAGCUCUCUGGGACGGUACUGACGCUGAGACGCGAAAGCGUGGGGAGCGAACAGG